AGCGAACGCUGGCGGCGUGCCUAACACAUGCAAGUCGAACGUGAAAAGGGAAACCUGAGUAAAGUGGCGUACGGGUGAGUAACGCGUAGGUAAUCUACCCCAGAAUCUGGAAUAACCUGCCGAAAGGCGGGCUAAUACUGGAUAGAGCGAGGGAACUCGUAAGAGAGUUUUUCGGGAAAGGGAGCCCGCAAGGGCCUUCGUUCUGGGAUGAGCCUGCGUCUCAUUAGCUAGUUGGUAAGGUAACGGCUUACCAAGGCGAUGAUGAGUAGCUGGUCUGAGAGGAUGGGCAGCCACACUGGAACUGAAACACGGUCCAGACUCCUACGGGAGGCAGCAGUGGGGAAUCUUGCGGAAUGGACGAAAGUCUGACGCAGCCACGCCGCGUGAGUGAAGAAGGCCUUCGGGUUGUAAAGCUCUGUCGGAUGGGACGAACAUAUUCAUAGUGAAUAGCUAGGAGGACUGACGGUACCAUCAAAGGAAGCACCGGCUAACUCCGUG
rnacentral:rRNA from 1 species